rnacentral:rRNA from 1 species
AGCUGCAGUCGAGAAUCUUUCGCAUGGGCGAAGCCUGACGAAGCGACGCUGUGUGAGUGAUGAAGGCCUUCGGGUUGUAAAGCUCUUUCGCUCUGUGGAACAAAGGAUGAUGAGUUCAGGAUGAAUACCCGGUAUCGAUUUGAUGGUACUGGGUAAAGAGCACCGGCUAACUCCA